ensembl:snRNA U6 U6 spliceosomal RNA
GUGCUCACUUCGGCAGCGCAUAUACUAAAACUGGAACCAUACAGAGAAGAUUAGCAUGGUCCCUGCGCAAGGAUGGCAUGCAAAUUUGUGAAGCACUCCAUUAUUUU